GAAGGAUCAAUGAUGCAUAAGUUUAAAACUGCGUUAUCUAUCUGAUAUUUCCAAUUCGAAAUCGAAGAUACUUUUUUAGCUUCUGAGAUCCUUC